rnacentral:rRNA from 1 species
UACGACUACAUAUCAGGCAUAUCAAUAAGCGGAGGAAAAGAAACUAACUAGGAUUCCCUCAGUAACGGCGAGUGAAGCGGGAAGAGCUCAAAUUUGAAAUCUUCAAGGUUCUACCUUGACGAAUUGUAGUUUAAAGAAGUGUUUUCUGUUGGAGUUUUGGUAAAAGUUCUUUGGAAUAGGACAUCAUAGAGGGUGAGAAUCCCGUAUUUGACCAUUAUUUUCAGCUGUGUGAUACACUUUCAAAGAGUCGGAUUGUUUGGGAAUGCAGUCCAAAAUGGGUGGUAAAUUUCAUCUAAAGCUAAAUAUUGGCGAGAGACCGAUAGCGAACAAGUACCGUGAGGGAAAGAUGAAAAGAACUUUGAAAAGAGAGUUAAACAGUACGUGAAAUUGUCAAAAGGGAAGCGUUUGACACCAGUGUUGUUUUCUCGAAAAUCAAUUAAAAAGAGUUGGAUUUUGUGUUGUAUUGACCUUAACAGCUUGCUUCACUCUUUUCCAGCUUUUUUUAAUGCACUUUUCGUUUAACAAGUCAACAUCAGUUUCUUUUGUUGUAAAAGGGUCAUUGGAAGGUGGCUUUCUCUUCGGAGAAAGUGUUUAUAGCCUUUGAUCUCUGCAAUCGGAGAGACUGAGGUCUGCAGCGUAGAUCCUUCGGGGUUAGAUACAUUUGUGCUAAGCUACAGCUUUUCAUAGACAACUUGUUGACUAUGUUUAGUCUUGUGACUUACCCGCUUAUGCUAUUUUACCUACGCUUAGGAUGUUGAGCGCAUGUCUCUCUCU